UGGGUCAGUUUUUGUAAUUUUCGGGUUGGAUCCUAUAAGGGCCCGAAUUUACCUUUUAUUAUAUUAGGUAUUUUACUACUAUAGAAAUCCUAAUUCUGAAUUUUGAUGAGACAUUAUUGCUUAGUAGAUUUCAUGGAGAGCUAAUUCCCAAAGAGCUGAUAUGUUGUAUUCGAAUUCCACUUUGAGGUUUUUAAUAAUUUCACUUUAAUUUCGAUUUCUUUU
rnacentral:lncRNA from 1 species